rnacentral:rRNA from 1 species
AUGGGCAUGGAGACGGGCGACGGGCUCGAUCUGAGCUUGUCUCUGCGCCAGUACUCGCCACCGAAGUUCCAGCGGGUGUUCUCCUGUUGCUAUUGCCCCCGCAAGUUCAGGACCUGGCAGGCGCUCGGCGGCCACCAGAACGGGCACAAGCUGCAGCGCGACCUGGCCAGGGAGGCCACGGCGGUGGAAGAGCUUGGUAAGGCCGCCGUCGAUGACCACAGCGCUCCGCCGCGCUACGGCGCCCACGCGUGGGGAGCAGGAGGGAGGAUCCACCCUCGUCGACAUCGCCAGCAGGGCACGGGUACUGGUUCGGGAGCAGCCUCCUCCGGGACAAGAAGAGGCAACCAAGAGCUCGCGGAAGAGGCUAUUGACCUGUCCCUGAAGCUAUGA